GACGAAGGUGGCGAGCGUUGUUCGGAAUCACUGGGUAUAAAGCGCACGUAGGCGGUGCCGUAAGUCGGGUGUGAAAUCCCUCGGCCUAACCGAGGAACUGCGCCCGAUACUGCGGUGCUUGAGGACCAGAGGGGUGCAUGGAAUUUCCGGUGGAGCGGUGAAAUGCGUUGAUAUCGGAAGGAACUCCGGCGGCGAAAGCGGCUCACUGGAUCUCUUCUGACGCUGAGGCACGAAAGCUAGGGUAGCGAACGGG
rnacentral:rRNA from 1 species